rfam:Pseudonocardia sp. EC080619-01, complete genome.
CUUCACCGAGCCGAGCAGCAGCGGGUGCUCCCGGUCCCGGCCGUAGGCGGCGAGCAGGGCCUGCGCCUC